GACUAACGCUGGCGGCAUGCAUCAUACAUGCAAGUCGAACGGAAGUAGGGUAGCAAUAUCCUGCUUUAGUGGCGGACGGGUGAGUAACACGUAGGUAACCUACCCUCGUGAUCGGGAUAACCUGCCGAAAGGCGGGCUAAUACCGAAUGUGACCACAGCCUCGCAUGGGGCAGGGGUAAAGGCUGGCUCGCAAGAGCUACCGCACAAGGAUGGGCCUGCGCACAUCAGCUAGUUGGUGGGUAACGCCUACCAAGGCUAUGACGGUUAGCCGGCUUGAGAGAGUGAACGGCCACACUGGAACUGAGACACGGGUCCAGACUCCUACGGGAGGC
rnacentral:rRNA from 1 species